UACGAAGGGGGCUAGCGUUGCUCGGAAUCACUGGGCGUAAAGGGUGCGUAGGCGGGUCUUAAGUCAGGGGUGAAAUCCUGGAGCUCAACUCCAGAACUGCCUUUGAUACUGAGGAUCUUGAGUUCGGGAGAGGUGAGUGGAACUGCGAGUGUAGAGGUGAAAUUCGUAGAUAUUAGGAAGAACACCGGUGGCGAAGGCGGCCCACUGGUCCGGUACUGACGCUGAGGUGCGAAAGCGUGGGGAGCAAACAGG
rnacentral:rRNA from 1 species